rnacentral:rRNA from 1 species
GACUUGAGUGCAGAAGAGGAGAGUGGAAUUCCACGUGUAGCGGUGAAAUGCGUAGAUAUGUGGAGGAACACCAGUGGCGAAGGCGACUCUCUGGGCUGUAACUGACGCUGAGGCGCGAAAGCGUGGGGAGCAAACAGGAUUAGAUACCCUGGUAGUCCACGCCGUAAACGAUGAGUGCUAGGUGUUAGGGGUUUNGAUACCCUUGGUGCCGAAGUUAACACAUUAAGCACUCCGCCUGGGGAGUACGGUCGCAAGACUGAAACUCAAAGGAAUUGACGGGGNCCCGCACAAGCAGUGGAGUAUGUGGUUUAAUUCGAAGCAACGCGAAGAACCUUACCAGGUCUUGACAUCCNUNUGANCGGUGCAGAGAUGUANCUUUNCUUCGGGACAGANGAGACAGGUGGUGCAUGGUUGUCGUCAGCUCGUGUCGUGAGAUGUUGGGUUAAGUCCCGCANCGAGCGCANCCCUUAUAUUUAGUUNCCANCACUUCGGGUGGGCNCUCUAGAUAGACUGCCGGUGACAAACCGGAGGAAGGUGGGGAUGNCGUCAAAUCAUCAUGCCCCUUAUGACCUGGGCUACACACGUACUACAAUGGCCGGUACAACGGGCUGCGAAAUCGCGAGAUGGAGCCAAUNCCAACAAAGCCGGUCUCAGUUCGGAUUGCAGGCUGCAACUCGCCUGCAUGAAGUCGGAAUUGCUAGUAAUCGCGGAUCA